UGAAAUCUCACCAGGCCCGGACACUGGAAGGAUUGACAGAUUGAUAGCUCUUUCUUGAUUCGGUGCGUGGUGGUGCAUGGCCGUUCUUAGUUGGUUGAGUGAUUUGUCUGGUUAAUUCCGUUAACGAACGAGACCUCGACCUGCUAAAUAGAGCGACGAAUCCUUGUGAUUCGUUGGUACUUCUUAGAGGGACUGUUGGUGCCUAGCCAAUGGAAGUUCGAGGCAAUAA
rnacentral:rRNA from 1 species